UAUCUACUUUUAGACAUUGAAGAUGUCAGAAGACUGAAACCCAGUUAUCUGGAAUCCACUGUUGACUGGUUUAGACGUUACAAAGUUCCUGAUGGAAAACAAGAGAACCAGUUUGCCUUUAAUGCAGAAUUCAAAAAUAAGGCGUUUGCAAUAGAUGUGAUUAAAUGUACCCAUGCUCAUUGGAAGGCACUAGUAACCAAAAAGUCAGAUGGAGGAGAAAUCAACUGCACUAACACCACUGUAGAUGGUAGUCCUUUUAUCUGCAAACAACAAGAAGCUCAAGCCAUUGUGAACGCUACACCUCCAUUUGGACCUGCAAGCCCUAUCCCAGAAGACGUGGACAAGUGGUACUAUCAUCAGAAGAACUAAUUAGGUGAAGACCUCCCGCUAUUAUUGCAUGCCUUUCUGCAGGCAUUUUCAUGUGCAACAUAGAGAAGAUAAUGGCAGAACAGAUAUGUGUAUACAAACAGCGAUCAUUGUAACCCUUUUAGUUACUUCACGGUUCCAUAUUUUACAGCGUGCUAUGAUUGAUGCUCUCUUUCAGCAACACUACGACAGAGGCAUUAUCUCUAUUUUGCAUCAGCAGUAUGCACUUUCUGUUCAGAUUGUGCUUAUUUUGUAAAACCUAACUGUACUGGCAUGCUGGAAUCUGCUAAAUAAAUAUUCCAACCUCUUUAUAGAUUUCCUGUACAAUAGAAGCAAAUAAAGCUACUUUUGUCAAUA